AUUGAACGCUGGCGGCAGGCCUAACACAUGCAAGUCGAACGGUAACAGGAAGCAGCUUGCUGCUUUGCUGACGAGUGGCGGACGGGUGAGUAAUGUCUGGGAAACUGCCCGAUGGAGGGGGAUAACUACUGGAAACGGUAGCUAAUACCGCAUAACGUCGCAAGACCAAAGAGGGGGACCUUAGGGCCUCUUGCCAUCGGAUGUGCCCAGAUGGGAUUAGCUAGUAGGUGGGGUAACGGCUCACCUAGGCGACGAUCCCUAGCUGGUCUGAGAGGAUGACCAGCCACACUGGAACUGAGACACGGUCCAGACUCCUACGGGAGGCAGCAGUGGGGAAUAGUGCACAAUGGGCGCAAGCCGGAUGCAGCCAUGCCGCGUGUAUGAAGAAGGCCUUCGGGUUGUAAAGUACUUUCAGCGGGGAGGAAGGGAGUAAAGUUAAUACCUUUGCUCAUUGACGUUACCCGCAGAAGAAGCACCGGCUAACUCCG
rnacentral:rRNA from 1 species